GACCCGUGGUAUGGGCAUUUUUGAAUCAACAUUUUAAAACAUUUCCACACUUUAUAGAAACUUUCUCCCUCCAUCUGUCUAAAAACAACAAUCUCUCUUCUUAGUUG
rfam:Gossypium hirsutum cultivar TM-1 chromosome 5, whole genome shotgun sequence